ACUUAUAAGCUAUUUUGAAGAACUUAUAAGCUCGGCCAAACACCCUCCUGCUCGUUUUGACCGAAUUUAUAUCCAUAAAGUAAAAUAACAAUAAACCAAACGAAAUACAUUUUUGGUUCUAAAAAAAAAAAGAAGAAGACAGAGAGAGAAAUGCAUUUUUAUAUUCCUUCUGUACACUUUCUAAUAAAUGUGGGACAAAAGAAACAGUUGUCCUAUUAAUAUCAACAAUAGCUUUAUAAUAAAAAAAUGUAUGCUUAUUACUCUUGUAUACAUAGUACCCAAAAUAACAAAAAAUA
rnacentral:lncRNA from 1 species